rnacentral:rRNA from 1 species
GAUGAACGCUGGCGGCGUGCCUAAUACAUGCAAGUCGAGCGAACAGACGAGGAGCUUGCUCCUUUGACGUUAGCGGCGGACGGGUGAGUAACACGUGGGUAACCUACCUAUAAGACUGGGAUAACUUCGGGAAACCGGAGCUAAUACCGGAUAAUAUUUCGAACCGCAUGGUUCGAUAGUGAAAGAUGGCUCUGCUAUCACUUAUAGAUGGACCUGCGCCGUAUUAGCUAGUUGGUAAGGUAACGGCUUACCAAGGCAACGAUACGUAGCCGACCUGAGAGGGUGAUCGGCCACACUGGAACUGAGACACGGUCCAGACUCCUACGGGAGGCAGCAGUAGGGAAUCUUCCGCAAUGGGCGAAAGCCUGACGGAGCAACGCCGCGUGAGUGAUGAAGGUCUUCGGAUCGUAAAACUCGGUUAUUAGGGAAGAACAAACGUGUAAGUAACUGUGCACGUCUUGACGGUACCUAAUCAGAAAGCCACGGCUAACUACGUG